rnacentral:rRNA from 1 species
AACGAACGCUGGCGGCAGGCUUAACACAUGCAAGUCGAACGCACCUUUCGGGGUGAGUGGCAGACGGGUGAGUAACGCGUGGGAAUCUACCCUUCUCUACGGUAUCGCUCCGGGAAACUGGAAUUAAUACCGUAUACGUCCUGAGGGAGAAAGAUUUAUCGGUGAAGGAUGAGCCCGCGUUGGAUUAGCGAGUUGGUGGUGUAAUGGCCUACCAAGGCGAGGAUCCAUAGCUGGUCUAAGAGGAUGAUCAGCCACAUUGGGACUGAGACACGGCCCAAACUCCUAGGGGAGGCAGGGGAAGAGAAUAUUGGAGAAGGGGGGCAAGCGUAAUACAGCCAUGCCGGGUAAGAGAGGAAGGCCCUAGGGUUGUAAAGCUCUUUCAGUGGGGACGAGAAUGACGGUAACCACAGAAGAAGCACCGGCUAACUUCGUG